UGUGGUGUUGGUGGCUGUCAUGUGACAGGAAGUGACUUUUAACCAGUGCCUGGAGCUUCUGCACAUGUGAUUGUCGGUUAGGUUUGGAGCUGGUAACCUAUCCCAAGUAGCCGUCACCCUUUCUAUUCAUUGUUAGUCUGGGUUUCAUGCUAAGAUAAUUCUAGCUGUCACCUGAACGAAAACUGGACAAGACAUAAUAUUUUAGCAUGAGUUGAUCUCCCUCAGCUUUAAAGUUUGUUUGAUUCCAUGUUUUUGUAUUUUUCAACGUCCCCCCCCACUGAUGAAAAGCCAAAAAUGAAAACAACACAAAAAGUGAUAGACAUCCAAGGGAGGCUCGGCGAGGGAGAACGGCGACCCGAAGCAACACAGGGUCAGCAGGCGAGGACUAAAGCUGACAAAGUGGCCUGGUCGAACGGCCCCCUAAGCAGCCAGCCAAACUCAACUCUGAAGCUUCUACAUGUUAGCUGCCUCUCCAAAAGUACCUGGUAGUAGGGUUCAGCAGGCAUUCCUUUGGACACAAGUCGCAGUUCUACAGUAUGUUUGGUUUGAAACCUGUGACUCAAAGACACCAACAUAGAUUUCUUCUGUGUCACGAGGUACAGGAAACAAUACAGUGGAUAAGAAUGAUGAGAGGAAUUUUUGCCAUUUGCGUCACUUUCUAAUGAAUAAUUUCAGCAGGAUGACCCUAGUGCAGAUCAAAAUUUACUGAUCCAAAACCACAGUGGACCCAAAAUGAAGGGCCAGGAUUUUUUGAAACCCAACUUUUUUUUAACCCUAAUGAACACAAACCAAUGAGCCCCUUCCACACUGUUUUUUUCAAGCCGGGAAUUUUCCGCCAUUUUACUAUGUUGCUUGUUUUGUGCGAACACCGCAGGGAGUGGUGGGGGUCAAAGUCGAACCAUGAAUUUCUCUAAAUGUGAACUGCGUACUGUGGUGGCAUGCAAUUCAGUACCCAAUACACCCGGUUGUUAGACACGUAUUGUAUAUAUCAUGGCAGAAGCUGUGCCACUCUUACACAUACUGUACAAAACACAAAAGUUAUUGCGUUAUUUGACAACAUGCCUUCAAAUCCUAAGAAUAACCACAGCAAGUCAUCUAUGGGCUAAUGCUAGCUGACCAGCAGUCACUGCUACGCAUGCUCAAAAUGGAUGAAGCUUGAGACC